rnacentral:tRNA from 1 species
GCCGGUGUCGCUUAACCUGGUAGAGCGACGGUCUCGAAAACCGUUGUCCGUAGGACGUGGAGGUUCAAAUCCUCCCACCGGCG